CUUCUUUGCACCUGAUAUCAAGAUUUUUUUUUAAAUUCAGCAUCUGGAACCCCCAAAACACCACAGACACUUUAGUGAUGAUUUAUAUGGAUGCACGAACUGAAGGCUUUUUGAACCAUUCUGCAGCUGAUCUAGAAACACACAAAUAUAAUUGCUCUACCUACUCUCACUGGAAAAGACCCUGAUGUUAGGAAAGUGUGAGGGCAAGAGGAGAAGGGGACGACAGAGGAUGAGAUGGCUGGACAGUGUCAUCAAAGCUACCAACAUGAAUUUGACCCAACUCUGGGAGGCAGUGGAAGACAGGAGGGCCUGGCGGGCUCUGGUCCAUGGGGUCAUGAAGAGUCGGACAUGACUAAACAACUAAACAACAAAAAAACUCUCAUUUGGACACUUUUCUCUGAAGCCAGUGCCUACCCCUAGUAUAAAGCAUCUGCAGAAAUAAAGGAGUUAUCAAGUUUACAGAGAAAGAAGACUUUAAUUCAGUGACAAUCAGAAUUCACAGCAACAAUAUGAACAGGAACACUGAAUUUAAAGCAAGCCUCAGAAGGGGGGGAAAGCAGAUUUAUUUUAUUGCUAAUCUGUUGUUUGAAUCCUUUUUGGAAUGAGGAUCAGAAAUCGACUUGUUUCCUCAUAACUGUUUUUUAUGGUAUUUGUUAUGAAAUCAUAUAAUAUGUCCACAUUCUCGUUUGUUGUACAAUCAACCACUUCCUCCCCACUGAAUGUAUUUAUCUUAUUUUUCAAGUUUUUCCUUUCACUUGCAGGAAAAUGUGGCUCUCCACAUGUUGUUGGACUUCAACUCCAUCUUCUUGGCCCUCACUGCAAGGGUUGGCCCUCCUUCCCAUCCCCGACCUAUGCUUUUAUUCCAAGUGGGGUGUUUUGACAAUUGAGCAAUUCCUGGCAAAGAGACAAAAAAAGUGUUAAGAGUUAGCACAGGGAGCAAGCCUUCCCCGGUUCGCAACUACACUAUUACCCCGCCCUCCAGCCAUCGCGUGAAAACGAUCCUCUCUCAGCCACGCACCCAACCGCGCCCCCCCCUACCUGCUCUCCGUUUUCCUAGCCCGCCCCCUGCGGGGCUCCAGCCCGGAGCUUCCCGGAAGACCGAGGCUUAAGCCCACGAAAGUCACGCUCGGGAGAAGGAGCGACGGCCGCCAGGGACGCGGGGGAAUCGCCUCUGCUGGAACU
rnacentral:lncRNA from 1 species